rnacentral:tRNA from 1 species
AGUUCCGAGGUGUUAUCAUGUCAGAUUGCAAAUCUGAAGAAGCAGGUUAACCGCCUGCCGGGGCUU